rnacentral:rRNA from 1 species
GAUGAACGCUGGCGGCGUGCCUAAUACAUGCAAGUCGAGCGAACAGACGAGGAGCUUGCUCCUCUGACGGUAGCGGCGGACGGGUGAGUAACACGUGGAUAACCUACCUAUAUUACGGGGGGAAUUUCGGAAAACCGGAGACAAUACCGCAGAAUACAUUAAACGGCUGGAUGCAAUGGUUAAUGAGGGUUUGCCUGUCACUAUGAGAUGAUGCCGGGCCGGAUUAGCUAGUUGGUAAGGUAACGGCUUACCAAGGCAACGAUGCGUAGCCGACCUGAGAGGGUGAUCGGCCACACUGGAACUGAGACACGGUCCAGACUCCUACGGGAGGCAGCAGUAGGGAAUCUUCGGCAAUGGGCGCAAGCCUGACGGAGCAACGCCGCGUGAGUGAUGAAGGUCUUCGGAUCGUAAAACUCUGUUAUUAGGGAAGAACAAAUGUGUAAGUAACUAUGCACGUCUUGACGGUACCUAAUCAGAAAGCCACGGCUAACUACGUG